rnacentral:rRNA from 1 species
GACGAACGCUGGCGGCGUGCUUAACACAUGCAAGUCGAACGGACAGGCCUCUUUCGGGGGGUACUCGCGUGGCGAACGGGUGAGUAACACGUGAGUAACCUGCCCUUGACUUUGGGAUAACUUCAGUAAACUGGGGCUAAUACCGGCUAGGAUCUCCUGCUGCCUGGUUGGGGUUGGAAAGUUUCGGCGGUUGGGGAUGGACUCGCGGCUUAUCCGCUUGUUGGUGGGGUAGUGGCUUACCAAGGCUUUGACGGGUAGCCGGCCUGAGAGGGUGACCGGCCACAUUGGGACUGAGAUACGGCACAGACUCCUACGGGAGGCAGAAGGGGGGAAUAUUGCACAAUGGGUGGAAGCAUGAUGCAGCAACGCCGUGUGCGGGAUGACGGCCUUCGGGUUGUAAACCGCUUUCGCUCAUGACGAAGCUUUGUGUGACGGUAGUGGGUAAAGAAGCACCGGCUAACUACGUG